CUGAUUUCAAGAAAAUAUCUUCCAAACACUCAAUUUGAAUAGCCAUGGUUUGUUAGCUAUUCUUUGAAGUAAAAAUAGUAUUUCAUGAAAAAAGGGGUUAGUUCAGCUCACAACUAUAUAGACCCAAAAAAAGCCAUCACACUUGGUCUGCAGGAGAAGUGCUUUAUAUGCACUUUUCAUUUUGCCACAUAGAAUGCGAAAAAGAUAUGGACUGUGAAUCAAGAUUUAAUAAGAUUAAAAUUUGUGUGUGUCACCAAGAACUUUCUUAAGUGAAACUGGUGUUGAUCUUACUGUGUGUGGUGGUGAAGAGGAUAAUGACAGCCAUGAUGGUGUGAUGGCUCUACCUUGAUUCAUGCCAUGGGGCCAGCAGUUUUAUCCAUUGCUAUGGUUUGAAUGUGUCCCCCCAAAUUCAUGUGCUGGAAACUUAAUCCCCAGUGCAACAGUGUGGAGAAGUGGAGCCUUUAAGGGGUGAUUAGGUCAUAAGGGCAGAAAAUGAAUUAAUGCCAAUAUCGAGGGAGUGGGUGAGUUACUGUGGGAGUGGAUUCCUGAUAAAAGGAUGAGCUUGACUGUGUUCCUCUUGCUCUGUCUUGUGUUUUUUUACUCUUCAGUCUUCCUCCAUGGGAUGAUAUAACAAAAGGGCCCUUGGCAGAUGCAAGCCCCUUGAUCUUGGACUUCCCAGCCUCCAGAACUAUGGUGUCUCACCCUGUUGCCCAGGCUGGAAUACAGUGGCACGAUCCUGGCUCACUGCAAUCUCCAUCUCCUGGGUUCAAGCGAUUCUCCUGCCUCAGCCUCUCAAGUAGCUGGGAUUACAGGGCUUCAGAAGCUGAUGGCAUAGUUAUGAGAGGGGUGAAGACUGCGACUGCAUUUCCAACAGACCCUGAGGACAAUUGGGAAGAAUAUUCAAGAUCUUGCAAAAUCUGAGAUCUGCUCAACUCUCAACUCUUCUUUCCAAAUGAAUGCUUCCUAUCUGCCAGGUCCUGGCUGAAGAGGAGCUACUUCUGAUAAAAUGAUGCAUCUGAUUUGGAAGGAUGUUUGCGUCAUUCCCUCCCUUCUCUUUUUCUCAUUUUCAAGAUCACUUUGCUCCCCAGCAUGACACACAUCAAGCUUUUUCUUUUGAUCUGAAAUAAAGUCUCUUUUUGUUUUUUAUGCUAUGGGCCUUUUCUGGGUAAUCUCAUUCAUUUUGUUGGCUCUAAUGACAACUAUAUUAGCACUGGUGACUCCUAAAUUUCUGAACUGUAUUUCUUAACUGAGCUCAAAUAAGAAUGUGCCCAGAGCACAUGGCCUCAGGUUUUCCACGAGCACCAAAACAGAGCCUAUCUAAAUAUGAAGUCCUCCGCUUCCCUUCCAAACAUGCUCCGGCUCCUGUGCCGCCUCUCAGGGAAUGUGGCACUCAGUCACUCAAAUCAGGGGCCUUGGAAUUCCUCUUGCAUUCCUCCAUUACUUACAUAUCAUCGAUAACCAAGUCCUGUUCAUUCCUUCUUCAAACAUUUCUCAAAUCCACCCACUCCCCCAUCCGCACUGCUGCUUCCCUGUUUCUAACCUAGAUAAUUGCAGUAGAUAUCCAAGAAGCAUCAUUGCUUUGGUAGCUAACAGUCAUUUCAAAUUUAAGAUAAAUAAAAUAGAAAUCUCCUUUUAUCCUCAGCCCCCCAAAUGGAUCCUCUUGUGUCUGCUGUAUCUCAGCUAAUAGUAUUAUUCACCAGCUUGUUCUCAGCUUAAACCUGGAGUCAUCCUUUAUCUCUGUUUUUGUAUCCUUCCACAUCCACUCUAUCAGCAUGUGCUAUCAGUUUUACUUCUAAAAUCCUUCCUAAAUCUGACAGCAUCUCAUUAUUUCUACUGAAACCACCUUGGUCUCGGCCACUUCAUUUUUCUCCUGGUUUACUUUAACAGCUUUCUUAAAUGGGCUCCCUAUCUCCACUUUUUUUCUAAAAUCCCACCUGUGUCAGAGAGCUUUAAAAAAAUUUCAUUACCUGGCUUAAAAUUGUCCAGUGUUUAUUUUUUUCUCAAUGCAAUUAUAAUAAAAUCCAAA